rnacentral:rRNA from 1 species
UUUUUAUAGAAUUUAAUUUUGGUUCCGAUUGAACGUUUUUCAGUAGUUUAAGACAUGCAAAUCUUUUUUUCUCGAAAAAUAUUAGAGAAAAAGGUGUAAAGGUGAGUAUAAUAAAUAAGAUACCCUAAAGUCUUCAUAAAUCGGGGAUAUUUCUUAAAAUAGUUAUUAAUAAAUUAUAUAAAAAUUAAAUUUUAAUUUUUAUUAGGGUAUUAAUAAUAAGAAAAGUAAAAAAUAAGCUAUUUUUAUUAAGAAAGGAAAUUUUCCGCUUUAGGAUUCUAUUUAUUUGGAUUAGGUUGUUGGUAGGGUAAAGGCCUACCAAGCCGACAAUCUGAAGCUAAGCUUGAAAGAGCCGAUGGCCACAUUGGGGAUGAAAUCUCCCAAGUAGUAUUAACUACCAGCAGUCUAGAGUAUUAGUCAAUGCUCGAAAGAGUGAACUAGCUAACUGAAAUCUUUUUUAAGAUAAGGUAAAGGAAAAUAAUGAUACUACUUUACUAUUAGUGUCGUCCAAUACUGGUGCCAGAAGACUCGGUAACGCCAGAGACGCAAACGUUAGUCAUCUUAAACAGGCGUAAAGGGUUUGUAGGCUGCUUCCAAUAUUUUGACAAUUUGAAAUAGCUCAUGUUACUGAUGAUGUAAAGUGCAUAUGAAUUUAAAAAUAAAGUGAAGAUAGAAUCAAAAAGAGGUUAAUAUAAUACUUAGAGUAGUGUUUCAAUCCGUAAAUACUAAGUAGAAUACUAGGAGCGAAGGCUGUUAACCAUUAAUGAUUGACGCUGAGGAACGAAGGUUAGGAUAGGAAAUAGGAUUAGAGACCCAUGAACCCCUCACUGUAAACGAUGAAUGGUAGUUAUCAGAAUAAUAACUGGUUUCGAGGUUAACGCGUUGACCAUUCCGCCUUGUGAGUACGAUUGCAAAAUUGAAAACAAAAAAAUUAGUCGGUCUCGAAGCAAACGAAGUGAAGCAUGUUGUUUAAUACGAUAAUCCGCGUAAAAUCUUACCAGUCCUUGUAUAAAAAUUAUAGUUUUUAAAUUAUUAGAAAUUAUAAGGAGUAUUUUUUGCUUCAAUACAGGUGUUGCAUGGCUGUCGUCAGUCCGUAUCGUAAGAAGUUAGGUUAACUCCACAAACGGACGAAAUCCCUGUUGUUAAUUUAAACUUAACAAAUAAAUGGUUCUGAUAGAGGGCCAUUUUGGGGCGAAGACAAGUCGUUAUGGUCCUCAUGGACUGGGCUAUAGACGUGCCACAACAACUUUUACAAAGUGAUGCAAUACCCUCUCGUAAUUAAUCUUAAAGAAAUUAGGUUAUAUUACUAACUGCUUUAAAAAUAAUAAGUAUUAAAAUCUAAUAGAUUAAUAGUACUAACUAUUGCAAAAUAGUCAUUACUGGGAAAUAAGGUGGAGCUAAUCAUUAAAGAAAGUUAAUUUACUAAAAUAUGCCUGAUUGUCACCUGAAAUUCGGUGGCAUGAAGCAGGAAUUUCGAGUAAUCGUUGAUCAUUACGCAACGGUGAAGUUUCAAAUUCGUGAUGAACUAACUGUCUGUCGCUGGGGAGGAGCUUAUAUUGAUGGAAAUUGCGGUAUGACUAAUGUUUUACAUAGGUUAUAGUUUUAAGCUAAAUUAUAGUCAAUUAUAUAUCCUUUUUAGAAUUAAUCCAAUUAAUCUAAUCUCAAGGUAAAACACCUAUGUUAAGGUUACCGGCUUCAGUCAAGUCAGUUGAGUAACAUCUCAAAAGUCAUAGCAAGGUAGCUGUACUGGAAGGUGUAGCUGGAAAAUAAAACAA